rnacentral:rRNA from 1 species
AUACGGAAGGUCCGGGCGUUAUCCGGAUUUAUUGGGUUUAAAGGGAGCGCAGGCGGAGAUGCAAGCGUGACGUCAAAUUUCGGGGCUCAACCCCGUCUCGCGUCGCGAACUGCGUCCCUUGGUUGCGGGAAGGGGAGGCGGAACUCGUGGUGUAGCGGUGAAAUGCAUAGAUAUCACGAAGAACUCCGAUCGCGAAGGCAGCCUUCCGGCCCGUCAACGACGCUCAUGCUCGAAGGUGCGGGUAUCAAACAGGAUUAGAUACCCUGGUAGUCCGCACAGUAAACGAUGGACACCCGCGGUUUGGCCUGUAUGGCUGAGCCGCCAAGCGAAAGCGUUAAGUGUCCCACCUGGGGAGUACGCCGGUAACGGUGAAACUCAAAGGAAUUGGCGGGG